rnacentral:rRNA from 1 species
CUUGGUAAAUCCGGUUGCUUAUCAACGCUGAGGUGUGAUGACGAGCCACUACGGUGGUGAAGUAGUUGAUGCCAAGCUUCCAGGAAAAGCCUCUAAGCAUCAGGUAACAUUAAAUCGUACCCCAAACCGACACAGGUGGUCAGGUAGAGAAUACUCAGGCGCUUGAGAGAACUCGGGUGAAGGAACUAGGCAAAAUGGUGCCGUAACUUCGGGAGAAGGCACGCUGGCAUUAGGUAAAGAGACUUGCUCUCGGAGCUGAAGCCAGUCGCAGAUACCAGCUGGCUGCAACUGUUUAAUAAAAACACAGCACUGUGCAAACACGAAAGUGGACGUAUACGGUGUGACGCCUGCCCGGUGCUGGAAGGUUAAUUGAUGGGGUCAGCCGCAAGGCGAAGCUCUUGAUCGAAGCCCCAGUAAACGGCGGCCGUAACUAUAACGGUCCUAAGGUAGCGAAAUUCCUUGUCGGGUAAGUUCCGACCUGCACGAAUGGCGUAAUGAUGGCCAGGCUGUCUCCACCCGAGACUCAGUGAAAUUGAACUCGCUGUGAAGAUGCAGUGUACCCGCGGCAAGACGGAAAGACCCCGUGAACCUUUACUAUAGCUUGACACUGAACAUUGAGCCUUGAUGUGUAGGAUAGGUGGGAGGCAUUGAAGUGUGGACGCCAGUCUGCAUGGAGCCAACCUUGAAAUACCACCCUUUAAUGU